AAUAAGACAAAUACCCUCAAAUAGUUUAACUUAUUUUAAUUACAAAUAGACAUUUCUGUAAUUUUUUAACCGAGCUGAUGACUCGAUUGGGAGUAACACCAACUCAGUAAAAUAUUUAAUAAAUAGUUUAUAUAUUAAGAAUUAUGACCAUCUACAACCAAAAUGAUUGGGCGCAUAUCAAGAGCAUAAUAAAAGUUUUCCAAAUGAAAAUCAUAGUUCCCAUGGGGACCAAGGAACAUCUAUCCAGUCUAACACAUUAAUGAGUCAUGGUACAAACAAAACUUCAAUUCAGUUGAAUGCAUUUAUAGCAGGUAAACGAGUUCACAAGUAGAUGCAGGAUGUAAUCCUGGCCCCUAAAAACUGCUACAACAUUCCAUCCAUGUGCAUCUGGGAAGGUGACUUCGAGGACGCUACAGUAGUUCUGAGCUUUACUACGCCAUAUAUAUCUCAAAUCUUUUGAAACCUGUCACGUAAAAAGCAUUAAACAAUAAUGGCAUGAUUUCCAUAUAUGCUCAUGUUAACCCAUAUAUAAAUAUCCUUUAUACUAAUCUUACUACAGAUUUUCGAUAUAAUGUCAUAAUU
rnacentral:lncRNA from 1 species